GCAUAGAAGACGAAAAAGCUAAGCCGUGGAUUUAUCGACGAAAUUAGAAGUUGGGAUCUCAAAACCGGGAAAGAUCUGCUUCGAUUCAAGUCGUGUGCUUCUCCGGCGCACAGCCGAAAACUUGGGUCGACUAAAGAAUCAAUUUUUCUAUCAAGCAACAAUGGAUGAGGGAGGAUAAGAAGUAGAAGAAUGAUGAAGGAGAAGUGAGGGAAGGAGUAGCGCAUCAAUAGCUUUGUUGCCACGCGGGUAUAUCUCUUGUCAUUUCUUUCAAAUGUCUAGCUCCAUCUGUUUUGGUCUCCAUGGAGAUCAAGUGUCAGCUGUUUUGGUUGAGUCUUGUGGCUUAAAGAACUUAAGGCUCAACUCGGCUCUCCUCAGUGUCACCAAAGUCACCGAAGACUGGAUUUGGAGAAGCUUGAAAGCGGUUGGCUGGAAGAAGAUAGGUCGAAGAUGAUGUUUGGCUUACAGAGAAAGCCACAGCCAAGCACACUCUUAGACAGAGCUCAUGAUGUACAACUUUAUUUCAGAGCGUAAGGUACUUGAAGAAAUGAGUUGCUCUUGGAACAUUAGUGGGAACUACCUAGGCUUCAAUGAUGGAAUACAAAGCAAUUGAGAAUGUGCGACAAACCAUUUAUUAUGUAGUUUUUCAUCUAUUUUUCUAAUUAUGUUUUUUGAGGAGGAUGAAGUAUUCUUAUUUU